UACGUAGGGGGCUAGCGUUGCCCGGAAUCACUGGGCGUAAAGCGCGCGCAGGCGGCUUGUUAAGUCAGGGGUGAAAUCCUGGAGCUCAACUCCGGAACUGCCUGUGAUACUGGCGAUCUCGAGUCCGGGAGAGGUGAGUGGAACUGCGAGUGUAGAGGUGAAAUUCGUAGAUAUUCGCAAGAACACCAGUGGCGAAGGCGGCUCACUGGCCCGGUACUGACGCUGAGGUGCGAAAGCGUGGGGAGCAAACAGG
rnacentral:rRNA from 1 species